rnacentral:lncRNA from 1 species
UGGCCAUUGGGACGCCUGGGGAGACUUGCCAAGCUGCCAAAAUAUUUGGACACCCAAAUGCUAGUGUUCAAACGCAUUUCUCCAUCAGGAUUCUGACUUCAUCCUCCUACUGCAUAUUUCUGCACCAUGUCCUUGCUUUCUGUCCUUGCAUCGUGACGCGUACCGGUGCGGCUUCGUGCCCCAUCGGAGAUGGUUAUCAGCACAAUGAUUUAAUGCCAAGCAAUGCAAGCAGGCAGUGUAAUGUCAGUGCUAUCUCUGCUCUCACCCCUCCAGCACUUUCAUAUCCUGCCGUGGUAACGCAAAGGAUUAAAGCAAAGAUGGGAGUGCUGAUGGAAGGGAGUGGUGUUGAUCUCAUCUCGUGUGCUGGUCCCACACUCCGCACCCAUUACAAUGAAAGAUCUUGUUCUGCAAGCACCACGGCUGAAAUAAAGGUGAUGCUCUCCAUGGUUUUUGCUUUCCUCCUUCUGUAG